rnacentral:rRNA from 2 species
UAUCUGAGAGUAACUGUUCAGGUAUGACGGUAUUUAACCAGAAAGCACGGCUAACUACGUGCCAGCAGCCGCGGUAAUACGUAGGUGGCAAGCGUGUCCGGAUUUAUUGGGCGUAAAGCGAGCGCAGGCGGUUUUUUAAGUCUGAUGUGAAAGCCUUCGGCUCAACCGAAGAAGUGCAUCGGAAACUGGGAAACUUGAGUGCAGAAGAGGACAGUGGAACUCCAUGUGUAGCGGUGAAAUGCGUAGAUAUAUGGAAGAACACCAGUGGCGAAGGCGGCUGUCUGGUCUGUAACUGACGCUGAGGCUCGAAAGUAUGGGUAGCAAACAGGAUUAGAUACCCUGGUAGUCCAUACCGUAAACGAUGAAUGCUAAGUGUUGGAGGGUUUCCGCCCUUCAGUGCUGCAGCUAACGCAUUAAGCAUUCCGCCUGGGGAGUACGGCCGCAAGGCUGAAACUCAAAGGAAUUGACGGGGGCCCGCACAAGCGGUGGAGCAUGUGGUUUAAUUCGAAGCUACGCGAAGAACCUUACCAGGUCUUGACAUACUAUGCAAAUCUAAGAGAUUAGACGUUCCCUUCGGGGACAUGGAUACAGGUGGUGCAUGGUUGUCGUCAGCUCGUGUCGUGAGAUGUUGGGUUAAGUCCCGCAACGAGCGCAACCCUUAUUAUCAGUUGCCAGCAUUAAGUUGGGCACUCUGGUGAGACUGCCGGUGACAAACCGGAGGAAGGUGGGGAUGACGUCAAAUCAUCAUGCCCCUUAUGACCUGGGCUACACACGUGCUACAAUGGAUGGUACAACGAGUUGCGAACUCGCGAGAGUAAGCUAAUCUCUUAAAGCCAUUCUCAGUUCGGAUUGUAGGCUGCAACUCGCCUACAUGAAGUCGGAAUCGCUAGUAAUCGCGGAUCAGCAUGCCGCGGUGAAUACGUUCCCGGGCCUUGUACACACCGCCCGUCACACCAUGAGAGUUUGUAACACCCAAAGUCGGUGGGGUAACCUUUUAGGAACCAGCCGCCUAAGUGA